UACGUAGGGCGCAAGCGUUGUCCGGAAUUAUUGGGCGUAAAGAGCUCGUAGGUGGCUUGUCGCGUCGGGUGUGAAAGCUUGGGGCUUAACUCCAGGUCUGCAUUCGAUACGGGCUGGCUAGAGGUAGGUAGGGGAGAACGGAAUUCCUGGUGUAGCGGUGAAAUGCGCAGAUAUCAGGAGGAACACCAGUGGCGAAGGCGGUGCUCUGGGCCGAUACUGACACUGAGGAGCGAAAGCGUGGGGAGCGAACAGG
rnacentral:rRNA from 1 species